rnacentral:rRNA from 1 species
AUGUUCCGCAACAAGGUCCUCGUGCGCGCCGUCCCCGUCCCCUCCUCUUCCUCCUCCGCACCGUCGCCGCCGUUCCUCCUCCGCCAGGUCUCCUUCUCCGCCGCCGCUCCAUCCCUCGACCUCGACAUCCUCUGCUGCAGGCUGUCCCGCCGCCACCGUCUCGCGUGCCUCCCCCAGCCCCCAGCCGACGCCCUCGUGGUCUACCAGAGAUGCCAGUCUCGCGCGGCCGCCGAGGUGGCCUCCGAGAUCGCGGCUGCCUUCACGGGCGCCUCGGUUGGCGAGGAGGAGGAGGUGGUGUGCUCAGGCGCGCUGGUUGCAAAAGCGGUUGAGUGUGGACUGCGAUGUCUGACGCUUGAGCGUGGAUGGAGCUUUGUCGGGGAGAGCAUAUACGCCCAGUCCACGUUUGCUGCCAGUGAGGAGAGGACUGAUCUCUGCGUGUUGAAUGUGGAAGUCAGAUCUGGACUAAAUGAUGAUUAUGAGUUUGUUGUCUCACCUGAUGCAUUUCGGUUUACUACACUUAAGAUCUCAGAUGUUGCUAGCUCCAAUGUGAUGGAAACGUUCCAACAUAUUAAGGAAGUAAGUUUGGAUGGUUAUAACCUCCAGACAGCUUGUGCAAUUCUUCCAACAUUACAGGAAGGCCAUGUGAUUGGUUUUAGUGAACUACCUCCUUCUGGACAGAUCUUGGACAGCUUUACAAAGCUUUGCUCAGUUAAGCAUGGUUUGGAGAUGAACUACAGUUAUCAUGCAGCAGUCAAACUGACAUGCGGAGCUUCCUGCGAGAAGCAAUGGUUGCCUUCUCCAUUUGUCCUCCAAGGUCCGGGGCUUCAGCCUGCCCCAAAAUCUGUUAGAGCAUCAAAGGCAAUGUCUUCCAUGCGGUCUUUUAUAGAAUUGUUGAAAGCUUGGAAUUUCUUUGGUCAGAGUCAACUAGUAAUCAAGGAACAACUGGUAGUUAACUGCACAGCUACUCUGCCUACUUGGGAUAAAGCCACAAGUAAACUGGCAAUGCACACUGCAAGAGCCGAAAAUUCAGAGGAUCUUCGUUUAGUUCAUCCAGGUUUUAUGGCCAAAGACCAAUCAUUGACUUUAGACUUCCGGACCCCCAAACCAGCUGUCUUUUGCUCUUCGGUUGCCAAAUUGUGCAAUACCAAAGUUGAGAUAGCUCAGUCUUUGGAUGAUGCUGGCACUGGCGAUGACACACAUUCCAUCAAGCAUGGUUGUCAAUCAGAGUCUGUUGUCCUAACCAGUUCAUUCAAAUCACAAAUAACAUUAUUGAAGCCUUCAUUUAGCAGAAGUAAACGAGCAGAUAAAAGCAAAACAAGCUGUUCUUCUGAACAAUCUGAUGCUGAUAGUUCAAACAGAUCGAGUGAAACCAGCCUACCAAAAUCGUCACUUGGAAGUUUUCCUAAAGCAAGCCAUGCUAAUCCUGUCGAUUCAUCAUGUGCAAGUCUUCUCAAGCAAGUCAUUCAGACUUCUGUGAAUCCUAAAAGGAAGCAUGCAGAGAUUCUAGAAAACAGUGGUGAAGGAGGAACUGUAAAAGUGCACCAAAAGGAUUGUUGUGAAAAGAGGAACUUGGAUACGAGGAAGAGUAAAGAUUGUGCACCUAAUGUCCCGCAAGACACAGCAUCAGUGCUACAUAUUCAGAAGGAUGUGUUUAGAACAAAAGUAAAACCGACAAAAUCAAAGUCUAUGGUUGGCAAGAAUGAGAUAACUGCUGCAACAACUUCGAAAAGAAAGCCAGAAGUUGUCAAAGACGAGCUAACCAAAAAGGCAAUAGAUCAUCAAAAGGAUGUUACUAACAAGGUGACAAAGGCAAAGCCAGGAAGUGUUAAGGAUGAGUCAACUUCAAUAACAAAGACAAAAACAAAGCCAGAUGUUGAUAAGGACGAGUUAACUGCAAAGGUGAUAGAUCAUCAUAAGCGAGGUCAGCUGCGUCUGCUUACAGUUGCUGAUCUAAAGUGCUUUCUCAGUGCAAAAAAAGCAAAAGUUGGAGGUUCAAAGGAAGUGCUUAUCCAAAGAGCAACUGAACUCCUUUCUUGA